UCAUUUCUGUGAUUGAAAACAAGACAGGAAUGGUGUUUCAUUCACAAGCUCAUAUUUAGGCAAACCCUUGAAUGUUUUUAGGCUAAGUCCUGCAGAACAGCACUGGAGACCCCUUGUGGAAUAUGUUUGCCAUCACACCUAUGAAACUCGUGGAAUCCCUUGGAUUUCGUUCUUGACAAAUGCAGAAGUGAUGCAAUUACAUUUAAAUUGUUUUCUGGAGGCAACAAUUCAGUCAAUGUGAUUGAGAAACCAAAACAAACAUUCCAUUAUGUUUUCCUACAUUGCUUCUAACGGCAGAGGAGAUAAAUUGUAAGACUGCAAACCAAGUGCAAUGUAGCCUACUGCAUCUAUUACCAUAAUUUGCAAUAUUAUAAUACGUUCCUUUUUUUUACUCAAAGUUGCUGUGUCAUUUUUGAUGAAAGUCAAACAAAUGUUUUUAAACAAAUAAUGUGAGUGGUAACAUUAUUUUGUAAUCAGUCAAAGAAGUGAACUACAGACAUAACGAGGAAAUGGGAAACACGAAAAUAAGAGUCUCAAUUAUACAAGGCUAAAUUGUAUGCAAUUAUGCUGAAUGUUUGCAUUAACAAUGGUACUGUAAUUUCUGUAUUUAAAUGGAACUGAUCACCACUAAAUGAAUGAAUGAAUGAAUCAAUCAAUCAAUCAAUCAAAAACGUCAAUAUUUAACUUCCUCUAUAGUCUACAACAACAACUUUUUUGGUGAGUGAAGCAACACGUAAAAUACACAUAAAAUAGUAGUUUUUGAAUGGUUUUAAGUGUAAGUGCAGUUGUUAUUCAUGUGCAGAAGUAUUCACAGCAUACUUUCGAAUGACCUUUAUGUCUGUUUUGGGUGAUGUUGAAUUACUGGGCUAGCUGAGAUCAUGACAAGUUCUGUCUCUGUUAGGUUGAGUUGAAGGUGAUGUUCUUGCACUCAGGCUGCGAGACGUCUGCCAGUCCAUGAUCUGUGCCCUGGCUUUUGUGGAAAAUAUGUCCAUCCUGGAGGCUGAGGAGAAAUUUCUGCAAGGACCUUUCAUUUACUUAAGUGAUCGGGAACAUUUUGACUCGAGGAUUGAACAACAGUUAAAAGAGAGUCAUCAACAGGAAUCAUCCUAGUUCAUGUUUUUUUUAUGAAAUAAAAUGUAAUAAAUGGUGAUAAUAAAUAAUAUUGUUGUACACAAAAAGUUGUCUUUUCUUCUCAGAUAGCUGAAUGGCCC